UGCUGAGGCAGCAGGCUAAAAGUUUGUUACAUGCAGUGUAAGAAAAUGUCCGGAGGUGCUGACAUGCUUCACUCCUCUCAUACCUCUUAUAUCUUUGGGAAGCUUGACAUGCCAUAAUCUGCAAUUUUACAAAUCAAUCAAAAAAGAGAGGUCUUCAGUAAAGGCACUAAGAAAAAAACUGUGUUCUGUCAUUCCUGGAACCGACCUCACUGAGCAAGGCAUCUCCCUAAGACGCCUCCUUCCAUCAGACGUGCUCAAGACUAUGUGAAUGCUCACUUCGCCGACUUCAGUUCGCUAGUGAAACAAGAAGAAAAGCCUGACAAAAAACAACUGGUCAGUCAUAACGACUCUCACCAUCUACAACAGAGCCAAACACCAGUCGCUACCGCUCCAGGUGAACAUCUCAUUGAUUUUGUAGACCGGGAGCAGCUGAAGUUCCCCCCUACACACAUAAAAAUGGACAUUCCACCUCAGCCUAGACCUUCAGCGACUCCACAGACUGAGCUGCCGGAUCUAGCAGCCUAUCUAGCACGCCGUGAUCUACUGACAGCGGGAUUCAAGGUUUUCGACAACCGCCCUGAGUCCUACUUGUCCUGGAAGUCCAUCUUCUGCAACGCCAUAGAAGGCCUCAACCUCAAGCCCAGCGAAGAGCUUGACCUUCUAACCAAGUGGCUCAGCGGGGAAUCACUUCAACACGCCCUGAGGAUCAGGGCGGUCCACGUGAACAACCCACAAGCAGGCCUCCAACGUUUGUGGCAGCGUCUAGACAAGAGUUAUGGCUCUCCAGAGGUAGUCGAAGCGUCACUCUUCCAACGCUUACAGGCUUUUCCAAAGAUAUCCAAUAAAGAUGCUCACCAGCUGCAGGAGCUUGCAGAUCUUCUGCUAGUGUUAGAAUAUGCACGAAAUGAAGGUUAUCUGCCAGGCCUUAGCUUUCUUGACACCCCAAGGGGGAUAAACCCGAUAGUUGAAAAGCUCCCUUACGGACUCCAGGAGUCAUGGGUAAAACAAGGGACAAAAUACAAAAGAGACAAUGGUGCAGUUUACCCACCUUUCUCAUUCUUCGUUCAGUUUGUAAAUAACUAUGCUGAUAUGAAAACAGACCCUAGCUUUAUUUUACAAAGCGCUAACAUAGUAGCUCCAAGAGUUGACAAGACACUGAUAAAACCAAACAGAUACAGAGUUCCUGUUGCAGUGAACAAAACAUAUAUUAGUCAAACUAACAGCACAGCUCAAGCAUCCGUUCGUAAUCCGGACAAGCAAUGUCCUAUUCACCACAAGCCUCAUUCGCUCGCUAAAUGCAGGGGAUUUAGGUAAAAAACACUGGACGAAAGAAAAGGUAUUCUCAAAGAACACGCUAUUUGUUAUAAGUGUUGUUCUUCCACAAGUCACAGAGCUAAAGACUGUAAAGCCAUUAUCCAAUGCUCAGAAUGUAAUAGUGAUGCGCACGUGUCUGCCAUGCAUGUUGGUCCACCUCCGUGGACGCCUAAAGACUCUAACCCUCUGCUUCAGAGCCACGGCGGGGAGUCCGAUUCCCCAAGCCCUGCAACUACAACUAGUUGCACAGAAGUGUGUGGCCGAGGCCUCAAAGAUUCCAGAUAACAGGGACGAGAUUCCCACCUCUGAGGCUGCGUCGGCUAACCCUCAUCUACAGGCAAUCGCUUCGCAGAUUCCUCCUCUGGACCCAUCAGCAGAAAUCCUUCUCCUCUUGGGCAGGGACAUCAUCCAAGCUCACAAGGUCCGCAGUCAGGUUGCUGAGUCAGUAUUUCAGCAGGUCUUCCGCCACUAUGGCUUUUCGGAGUAUAUCAUAUUCCCUGGGGACCUCAUCUGGCUCUCCACGCAGGAACCCCCACUUCAUCUGCCCUGCCGGAGGUUGAGCCAGCCCAUGGUCAACGAGGUGAUUUACAGGUUGGAAUCUAAUUGGCCGCAUACAAAUGGUUGAUUUUCAUCACUUCGUUUUUUGCUUACAUUUGGCAUAUUCAAGUUCUCUCCAAUAGAAAGCCUGCCUAUAUUGAAGUGGUGACUGAAGGCAUCAACAAUAGCUUUCUUAUCAGUAAUGAGCCCAGUCCACAAUCAUUUGUUUUGGUAACAACGUGGAUAACUGUUCUUCAGGUUUUUAACAGCUUUCCAGAAUAUGUCAGGAUUCCCCUUGCAAUCAGAUUAUGUACAUAAUAUACAGAUUUUUCCAUUCAAAUAAGGUUUUUAGGGAGAUAUGUGUGCUGUUUUAAAUGAUCAGCAUAGCAACUUCCCUGUGGCCCUCAGCAAGUAAACAAUGUCACACUAAAAGUCUGGGUUUUCAUAUCGUUGUUGGAACAGGGCAAAGCAUACAUAACUCCUGCAGCAGAUGUAUCCCUCAUAAAGUCUGCUGUCCAAAGGGUCCACCAUUCCAAAGAAAUGUUGUGUUGAGUUAAAAAUGCAAAGAAUUCGAGACAAUUGACAGUCCGGCCCGUUAAGGCCAGCCUUGACACCAAAAACAAUAACGUAAAUCAAAUCAUUAAAGGUAAUCUAGAAAUCUAAGAAAACUAAGUUAAACAAAUAAAUAAGAAGCACAUAAAGACAAUAGGAUACAGAACAAAAUACAAAUGCGACAUAUAAUUAGAAUGUGUGAUUUUGAUCAAAUUAAAAUGUUAACAUACUCCAGAGCAUUCUUAUGAAAAGAUAGAGGACAGGUUUUCCAAGUGUUUUUUGUUGAUGUGUAAGAGAAGACAGCAACCUUAUUGGUAUGCCUGGAAUGCCAUUAUAGAAUUAGUAAUAGAUUUAAAAAUUUACCAGCAAUUAAUCUAUUUGUGAAGUAAUGGUAAUAUAAACAGAAUCUAAUACAGAAAUACGUUUUACAGAUUACAUACAUUGUACAUUUUAAAAUCCUUCUGGUAUUUAGAAUAAUAAUUAUGAAUUAUCCUUAAAAAAGGGUGAGCCUUGUCAUUGAAAUUAAAGGUUCUCUCAAUGUUAUUAACCGCAAUUGAUCUUUGUGACUUUGGCCUAAGCGGCAGUGUUUCUUUCUUGCCACAAGAUGUCACUUCAAUUCACUUGAAAACCCUCAAUGUCUCAUCCAAGUCAGAGCAUACCACUUUACCAAAUGGAGGUAAAAGUGAUUAAUGGAUAUGUUUAGGGAAUAAAUUGACCCUCUGAGAAGUAGAUACAUUAUGCAUAAUGGGGGUAGAUCUGAUGUUCCUUGACUUAGAAUAAUUUUUUCCCAAUGAUGUUUGAGUAGUGUAAAAUGAAAGCCUUAAAUCUAUUGACAAAAAGGUGUUUAUACUUGCCAUCCCUGAACUGACAGCAUAGUCAGUUAAUUAUUGCUAUAGUCUCCAUACUCUGAUUAUUAAUCACAAUAAAGCUACUUACUAAAAGACUAAGACCGGAAUGUCAUCCCUAAAAUCAACACCUCCUUAGCCAUUAUUAUUUUACGUUCUCUGCAGCCGUUCACUGGAAUUAAUUGCACAAUACUUUUAGACUUAACACUUUCAUCACUGCUUUUUUGUUCAAAAUCAAACUGCUAAGCACUUUACCUCUAUGGAGAGUAAAUGUGCACCUUAUCCAUCUUGAAAUACAUAUCACCUCAUUCUGUGUAACUUGUUGACCUCUUACGCCACUGUAAAUGUUUAUUUAUUGCUUUUAUUGUCUCAGAGUGUUAUCUUAUUCAAGUGUAACUGAUUGUUUUGUCUUGUUAUUGCCAUAAGUCAGAAUAGUUUCUGAAUCAACUUUCCUGGUUAGGAAAAUAAAGUUAAUAAGUAGGUAAAAAUGUAUUCCCAUUUAAAUAUAAGGAAACCCAUAUGACAUUACACAUAAAGGUAUUAUAUUGUUAAGUAUCUUAUAAUUUAAGGAUUACUAGGCAAACAAAGUUAAAGUUAACACCCAUAAUCCCACACUAGCAACUUCCGAGGAAAGAAUAUCAAAGGUUAAUGUUUUAUGGUGUGUUUACUUUUUAACUAACUGUACAGCUGAUAUAAAAAGUCUACACACCCCUGUUAAAAUGUCAGGUUCUUUUAUUUACUGAUUAUAUCUGACGAUUUUUCUGUUAUUAUUGCUGAAAUUAAAUAAUUAGAUCUUUGUUACCUUGUAACAACUUAUUCCAUGCAAUGGAAUUAAUUUAUAAAAAUAAAAUAUUUAAGUACUGUCACGGUGCGGUGAGGAUCAGUGUCACUGUGACAAGUAUAAAGAAAAUAAAUAAAACUAGUAAGGCAACAAUAAACAAACUUAACUUUAUAGACACUUGAGCAGUGGCAGUCUAUAGUAUAGGAAGCGUAGCUUCUCAGCCUUGGCACUUCACAGCUCAAAAGGUAUUCUAGAAUUGUAUCAGAUCAUUAAAUGCAUGCUCAAACAGCCAACCCAAGAGAAGUAUUGCAAUUUUUUUUAAACUAUUGUUAGUAAUGGGCAAAUCAUUGGGCCAAUGAAUGGAUCUUUUUACAUAUUGAUAAGUUUGAAGAGUAUAAACCGAGCAGGACCCUUAGAUGCAUGAACUCAGGUCAGCUAUUGGAGCCCAGAGUCCAAACUAAACAUGGCGAAGCUCAAUUUUACAGUUAUGCUGCACAAUGUAAAUAAACUACCAGAACAUCUUACACGUGCCCAAAACGUAUACAUCCAGGUUGAAAACAUUUCUCUUUUCUCGCGCCAAUGACUGAGCGCUUAAACUUAACCACACUGUUAGCCUUACAGCUUUUAUAGCUUCCUCAUGGAAUCUACUACAGAAUCUACCAGUUAUGUUUUGAUUUUCUUUUAUUCUAUUUCUAUUUUCUUAUUCAUUGUUUUCUUAGAAUGAUGUUUUAUUGUUGUUUAUUGUUUGUAUUCUAGUAUUUGUUUUUAUGCAAUUGUAUUUUUAUAUUUCUCUUUUUCUUUGUAAAGCACAUUGAACUGCUUCUAUGUAUGACUUUUGCUAUAUAAAUAAACUUGCUUGCUUGCUAUUGACUUGCUAUUGAAUGGUGGGCUUUCUUCAGUAUUCAUACUUUUUGCAAAACAUUAUACAACUUUUUUUUAAAUAGGCAAAUCAUGGUGAUUACCUCUUCUUGACAGGGAUGCAAUUUAU
ensembl:lncRNA